rnacentral:rRNA from 1 species
CGGUGGAUGGAGCAUGUGAAUUAAUUCAACCCAACGGAACCAACCUUACCUGGGAUCGAAAUGGAAUGGACCGGAGAGGAAACAUCCCUUUUCGCAAGAACCGCUAUAUAGGUGCUGCAUGGCUGUCCUCAGCUCGUGUCGUGAGAUGUUGGGUUAAGUCCCGCAACGAGCCCAACCCUUAUUGUCCCUUGCCAUCAUUCAGUUGGCUACUCUGGCAAAACCUGCUCGAAUAACGGGGAAGGAGGUGAGGAUGACGUCUCAUCCUCCUGGCCUUUAUGUCCACGGCUACACUCCUGCUACGAUGGGCGGUACAAACCGCCACAAACCCACGAGGGGGAGCUAAUCAAAAAAAGCCGACCUCAAUUCGGAUUGGAGUCUGCAACUCCACUCCAUGAAGCUGGAAUCGCUAAUAAUCCAUCAAUCAAAACGCCGCGGUGAAUACUUUCCCGGGCCUUGUACACACC